rnacentral:rRNA from 1 species
CGGUGAAUACGUUCCCGGGCCUUGUACACACCGCCCGUCAAGCCAUGGAAGCUGGGGGUACCUGAAGUAUGUAACCGCAAGGAGCAUCCUAGGGUAAAACCGGUAACUGGGGCU